AAGCUGCGGUGAAUACGUUCCCGGGUCUUGUACACACCGCCCGUCAAACCAUGAAAGUGACCAACACCCGAAGUCCGAUUCGUCGGCCUAAGGUGGGGGACAUGAUUGGGGUUAAGUCGUAACAAGGUAUCCGUAGCGGAAGCUGCGGAUGGAUUACCUCCUUUCUAGGGAGAAA
rnacentral:rRNA from 1 species